rnacentral:rRNA from 1 species
CAGCAGCCGCGGUAAUACGAAGGGUGCAAGCGUUAAUCGGAAUUACUGGGCGUAAAGCGUGCGUAGGCGGUUUGUUAAGUCUGCUGUGAAAUCCCCGGGCUCAACCUGGGAAUGGCAGUGGAUACUGGCAAGCUAGAGUGUGUCAGAGGAUGGUGGAAUUCCCGGUGUAGCGGUGAAAUGCGUAGAGAUCGGGAGGAACAUCAGUGGCGAAGGCGGCCAUCUGGGACAACACUGACGCUGAGGCACGAAAGCGUGGGGAGCAAACAGGAUUAGAUACCCCUGUAGUCCCUGUCUCUUAUAC